UUAUCACAUUAGUGUCAGAUGUUAUGUCAAAAUAAUGUCUGACAAAUCAAAUUAUUUGUAAAAUGAUUGUACAAUAUCGAUGAAAAUUUAUCUUACCUAUAAGGAAACAGAAUUUCAUUACACGGGAAUGACGCCUGGAGUACCUGAACCAAAGGUGAAAAUAGUAAAGGAGAAAAAGACUAAGAAACCAAAACCAAAAGCGAAGGCUAAACGUAAACAACUCCUGAGAAUUCGAUGUCCAAUAUGCUUUAAUAACUUGGGCAAAGAAUCAGUUGUUUCAACAAAGUGCGGCCACGUGUUUUGUAGAAAUUGUCUGCAGAAGGCGUUGAUACUAAAGCCAGUAUGUCCUACAUGUCGAAGAAAGUUGACAGGCUAUCAAGGAUAUCAUGCUUUAUACUUGGACGACAAUGUCUGUGAUGAGCUUGUGGAAGAAAUUACCAUCAAACCAUAGUGUCGAUUCGAACAGCUUUUAUUUGUGCGUGAAUUAACAAAUUAAUAUGCGAAUCAUUUUAGGUUUGUAAUAAUUUAUGUGUCCUGUUCUGUUCUCGUUCAAUUUAUCAAUGAAAGUCACUACAGUUUUCAUUAAUAAGAAAUAAACCCAAUUUAUAUAAAGUA